rnacentral:lncRNA from 1 species
GUCGAGCAAGAAACCUCAAGAUAUUCUACUACUCCUACCAUAGGCCAGGAAAUGGUGAUUGAUACGAAUUACAGCGAUAUAUACAGCAAUAUGGCAGGUUCUCUCACAAAGCUCUACUACUUUCUCCAGCAAUCACAGCUUCAAAGCCUAAGAAAAUGUAUAGGAGGUAACAAGCUCAUGUUAUUAUCUAUAUAGCAGCAAGAAACCUCAAGAUAUUCUACUACUCCUACCAUAGGCCAGGAAAUGGUGAUUGAUACGAAUUACAGCGAUAUAUACAGCAAUAUGGCAGGUUCUCUCACAAAGCUCUACUACUUUCUCCAGCAAUCACAGCUUCAAAGCCUAAGAAAAUGUAUAGGAGGUAACAAGCUCAUGUUAUUAUCUAUAUAGCAGCACCAGAAAUAUCAGACUUCCAAAAAUCAUCUAAACCUCUCUAGUGCAU